UGGAAGUAAAAAUCGUAACAAGGUUUCCGUAGGUGAACCUGCGGAAGGAUCAUUGUCGAAGCCUAUAAAGCAAAACAACCCGUGAACGUGUAACAACAGCUAACCAUCAUAGGAAUCGGGCUUUUGUUUGUGACCUAUGGUGACUUGUCGAUUUGCCUUCCUGGUUGCCUCUUCGGAGAUUCCUUGAUGUCAAAUUCGACUCGAUAACAAAACCCCGGCACGGUAUGUGCCAAGGAAAACAAAACCUUAAGAAGGCCUCGUCCCAUGUUGCCCUGUUUUCUGUGUGUACCUGGGACAGUAGCUUCUUUAUAACCAAAAACGACUCUCGGCAACGGAUAUCUCGGCUCACGCAUCGAUGAAGAACGUAGCAAAAUGCGAUACUUGGUGUGAAUUGCAGAAUCCCGUGAACCAUCGAGUUUUUGAACGCAAGUUGCGCCCGAAGCCAUUCGGCCGAGGGCACAUCUGUCUGGGCGUCACGCAUCGCAUCGCUCCUCACCAAUCCAUCCUCAAGAGGGAUGUGUGUGAUGGGGCGGACAUUGGUCUCCCGUGCCUUUUGUGCGGUUGUCCAAAAUACGAGUCUCCUUUGGAUGGACACACGGCAAGUGGUGGUUGGUAAAACCUUUGUCGCGUGUUGUGUGUCUUGAGAUAACAGGAAGAGGUGGGAGGUAGCUGAGAGGCAAGUAAGUAAAUCACUAAGCAACAAUCUACAGGAAGACUUUGUGAAGUACCCUAACGUGUUGUCUUGUGACGACUCUUCGACCGCGACCCCAGGUCAGGUGGGACUACCCGCUGAGUUUAAGCAUAUCAAUAAGCGGGAGGAAA
rnacentral:rRNA from 1 species